rnacentral:lncRNA from 1 species
ACAGACCGCAGAUGAGCCAGGGCAUACUUUGGGAGCUGACAAUUUCAGCUGCCUCCAGACAAACUGACAAUGUGCAUCUGCAGCUUGAAAUUGUUCUAGUAUUGUAUAUUUAAAAAAAAAACUGACACAAGAGGAGAUCGAUCACACUGGACCUCGACCUUUCCUGGAACAUGAGUACCAAUGAAAUUUUCAUACCUUGAAGCAUCUGUAAAAUUGAAAUAAAGCCAGUAAAUUAAAAGGGAGAACAACUGGGAUGGGGGGAAAAGAAAAAAGAAG